rnacentral:rRNA from 1 species
GCAGUCGAGCGCGCCCUUCGGGGUGAGCGGCGGACGGGUUAGUAACGCGUGGGAAUAUGCCCAAAGGUACGGAAUAGCCUCUGGAAACGGAGAGUAAUACCGUAUGUGCCCUUCGGGGGAAAGAUUUAUCGCCUUUGGAUUAGCCCGCGUUGGAUUAGGUAGUUGGUGGGGUAAUGGCCUACCAAGCCGACGAUCCAUAGCUGGUUUGAGAGGAUGAUCAGCAACACUGGGACUGAGACACGGCCCAGACUCCUACGGGAGGCAGCAGUGGGGAAUCUUAGACAAUGGGGGCAACCCUGAUCUAGCCAUGCCGCGUGAGUGAAGAAGGCCCUAGGGUCGUAAAGCUCUUUCGCCUGUGAAGAUAAUGACGGUAGCAGGUAAAGAAACCCCGGCUAACUCCGUGCCAGCAGCCGCGGUAAUACGGAGGGGGUUAGCGUUGUUCGGAAUUACUGGGCGUAAAGCGCACGUAGGCGGACUAUUAAGUCAGGGGUGAAAUCCCGGGGCUCAACCCCGGAACUGCCCUUGAUACUGGUAGUCUUGAGUUCGAGAGAGGUGAGUGGAAUUCCGAGUGUAGAGGUGAAAUUCGUAGAUAUUCGGAGGAACACCAGUGGCGAAGGCGGCUCACUGGCUCGAUACUGACGCUGAGGUGCGAAAGUGUGGGGAGCAAACAGGAUUAGAUACCCUGGUAGUCCACACCGUAAACGAUGAAUGCCAGUCGUCGGCGCGCAUGCGUGUCGGUGACACACCUAACGGAUUAAGCAUUCCGCCUGGGGAGUACGGUCGCAAGAUUAAAACUCAAAGGAAUUGACGGGGG